GCCUUUGUGCUUUUGGGUUUGUUUGUUGUGUUUGUAGGCCGGUUGGGAAUGUUUCAGAUAUGCUUUCCCUUUGUGGGGAGACCUGAACGCCCCCCUUUUCCCCUCCUCUGGAAUUAAUCCUAUGAGCAUUGCUUUAUGGGGUGUUUUUAUUUAUUUAUUUUUACGUUUUGCUUUUAAAUUUGUUUUCAAUUUGCCAAUUACCUCCCGUUCCUCUUGUUCGAUCAACAGAGACUGAACCGUGAUGCGGGGAUUAUGGAUUCAGCUCAGAUUCACACCCUUUGCUCCCUCUUUCUACUGAAUGCUGAAGCUUGGCCUGUGUUCUCCAUUAUCCACUCCAUUAUGAACUGAAGAAACCGCCCCCCCCAUCCUCUACAAAUGGCUCGUUGUAAGAUUUCGUUAACGCUUUGAAAAGCAGCGAGCGCACGCAAAAGCAAGCGUCCGAGUCGGGGACAAAACGGUUGGUUGCUGUGGAAACCGGGCUAGGGGAGAAAGCGACGCUUGUUUUUUUUUUUUUUCCCCCCCUCUGGCUUGGCGUCUUUGAAGUAAACUUGAACGUGAUGGUAGCCUGGCAACCCCAUUCCAGUCCCGGGACAUUGAUAUUCAGUGCGGGGGUUCGCAUUUGGGAGGGAGGAACAAUGGUGUCCUUAUGAAUAUGUGCCCGUUUCUGUCCAAAGUGGGUGGACAAAAAUGUCCAUGCCUAAAACUGGGACAUUCAACACUGGCCAGCCACAACAUUUUAGAGUCUGAAGGAACUUCAUCUUGGAGCUGUUAUUUAGACCUUCCUAUAAACCCUGUUUAUGUGUACAGUGAGAGGGGAUAGGGAUUGAGUAACGACUGUUGGCAUUAAAUCAUAA